GACGAACGCUGGCGGCGUGCUUAACACAUGCAAGUCGAGCGGUAAGGCCCUUUCGGGGGUACACGAGCGGCGAACGGGUGAGUAACACGUGGGUGACCUGCCCUUAGCUCUGGGAUAAGCCUGGGAAACUGGGUCUAAUACCGGAUACGACUCCAUGACGCAUGUUGUGGGGUGGAAAGCCUUGUGCGGCUAGGGAUGGGCCCGCGGCCUAUCAGCUUGUUGGUGGGGUGAUGGCCUACCAAGGCGACGACGGGUAGCCGGCCUGAGAGGGCGACCGGCCACACUGGGACUGAGACACGGCCCAGACUCCUACGGGAGGCAGCAGUGGGGAAUCUUGCGCAAUGGGCGAAAGCCUGACGCAGCGACGCCGCGUGGGGAUGACGGCCU
rnacentral:rRNA from 1 species